rnacentral:rRNA from 1 species
AGUGAACGCUGGCGGUAGGCCUAACACAUGCAAGUCGAACGGCAGCACAGUAAGAGCUUGCUCUUACGGGUGGCGAGUGGCGGACGGGUGAGGAAUACAUCGGAAUCUACUUUUUCGUGGGGGAUAACGUAGGGAAACUUACGCUAAUACCGCAUACGACCUACGGGUGAAAGCAGGGGAUCUUCGGACCUUGCGCGAUUGAAUUAGCCGAUGUCGGAUUAGCUAGUUGGCGGGGUAAAGGCCCACCAAGGCGACGAUCCGUAGCUGGUCUGAGAGGAUGAUCAGCCACACUGGAACUGAGAAACGGUCCAGACUCCUACGGGAGGCAGCAGUGGGGAAUCUUGGACAAUGGGCGAAAGCCUGAUCCAGCCAUACCGCGUGAGUGAAGAAGGCCUUCGGGUUGUAAAGCCCUUUUGUUGGGAAAGAAAAGAAGCAGGUUAAUACACCGAUGUUCUGACGGUACCCAAAGAAUAAGCACCGGCUAACUUCGUG